ACUGGCAUCUAUUGGAGGCUAGUUGACUUUGGCCAGUUUUCUCUGAAGGACAAGAGAGAGUCAUCUUUUAAUUCCCUGGUUGCGGGGGCACGUUCUAGCAGGAGGCGAAGACACAAGGGAUCACCAUAUCAACCCAACUGAACACCUGGGAGACUGUGGACCAAGCAAUAGACCACCAUAAUUCAACAGCAAAUGAGGGAAUAAUACUGGGAAGAUUACGGUACAUCCCUAUAUUAGAGUGCCAGAGACUUGGAAAAUGUACAGGACAAGAGGAAGGAGUACUCUACAUACACAAUCUCUGAUACAGACACUACAUAAAGUUCAGAUGCAUCUUCUGAGGACAGGAAGCAGAGGAAAAGACAGAAGAAAAGUGCAAGAAGGGGAAAAGGAGAAGAGGCAAGUUUCCCCAAAGAGGAAUGUGCCCUUUUAUGCAUCUCUAUUACAUGAGGCUGAUAUGGUAUUUGUUAUUUAUUUUCAGUAGUGAUAAUUAGGGUUAUUGGUGUACUACAGUCAAUCUAUUGUAGUGCAUAUUCUUCUUAUUCUGCCCAAAUUUUUGAGGUUGACUCCUCCCACAGUUUUUGUGAU